rnacentral:rRNA from 1 species
UCCUCCCAGGGUUAGUCGGGAGCUAAGGCGAGGCCGUAAGGCGUAGUCGAUGCCCAGCAGGUUAAUAUUCCUGCACUGACCAAGGUUAAGGGCGGAGGGGACGCAGAGAGAAAAGUGAUUAUUCUAUCGAAUCGGGAGCCUAGGCUUCGGCCAAAGCGUAUCACCGGACAAUCUGUCGAGAAAAGCCUCCGUUUGUUCCCUUGGUUGCCCGUACCGUAAACCGACACAGGUGGGUGAGUGUAAAUGCACUCAGGCGCGCGAGAGAAACCUCUCUAAGGAACUCGGCACAUUAGCCCCGUAACUUCGGGAAAAGGGGUGCCUGACUUCCAUGCAGCAAUGUACGGAUGCCAGGCCACAGUAAAUUGCGCUUAGCGACUGUUUAACAAAAACACAGCACUCUGCCAAGUCGUCAAGACGACGUAUAGGGUGUGACACGUGACCAAUGCGGAAAGAUUAAGGCAUCUUGUCAGCCGCAAGGCAAAGCUCGGUGCUCAAGUCCCCGUGAAUGUCGGCCGUAACUAUAACGGUCCUAAGGUGGCGAAAUUCCUUGUCGGGUAAGUUCCGACCUGCACGAAUCGUGUAACGACUGAGCGACUGUCUCGGAGAGGAUCUCGGCGAAACUGUAAUGGCGGUGAAGAUGCCGCCUGCCCGCAGUAGGACGGAAAGACCCUAUGCACCUUUACUGUAAGCUGGUAUUGGGUUCUGGUUAACGAUGCGUAGCGUAGGUGGGAGACAUCGAACGGCCGGUUUCGGUCGGCCGGGAGUCGCAAUGUGAAACACCACUCUUUGCUAACUAGAAUUCUAACCCCGACCUGUCAGCCAGGCGGGGGACAGUGCCUGCGGGUCAGUUUGACUGGGGCGGUUUCCUCCCAAAUGGUAACGGAGGAGCGCGAAGCUCGGCUCAGCACGGUUGGCAACCGUGUGACGAGGGUAUGGCUACAAGCCGGGUUAACUGCGAGACCAACAAGUCGAGCAGGUGCGAAAGCAGGCCCAAGUGAUCCGAUGGUUUAAUGUGGAAUUGCCAUCGCUCAACGGACAAAAGGUACGCUAGGGAUAACAGGCUGAUCGCGCCCAAGAGUUCAUAUCGACGGCGCGGUUUGGCACCUCGAUGUCGGCUCAUCGCAUCCUGGGGCUGGAGAAGGUCCCAAGGGUCCGGCUGUUCGCCGGUUAAAGCGGUACGCGAGCUGGGUUCAGAACGUCGUGAGACAGUUCGGUCCUUAUCCACUGUGGGCGCAGGAGACUUGAGGGGUUCAUUUCCUAGUACGAGAGGACCGGAAAUGACGCACUUCUGGUGUGGCAGUUGUUCCGUCAGGGGCAUCGCUGCGUAGCCAUGUGCGGACGAGAUAAGCGCUGAAAGCAUCUAAGCGCCAAGCUCCUCCCAAGAUUGAGUCUCCCGGCCGCAAGGCCCUAAAGACCCCCGGCAGACUACCGGGUUGAUAGGUCAGGCGUGAAAGCGUGGCAACAC